UCACUUAAGCAGCGUAUAUACUAAAAUUGGGAUGAUACAGAGAAGAUCAGCAGGGCUCCUAUGGAAGGAUGACCUGCGAAUUCAUGAAGUGUUACAUAGUUUU